GGGCUCGCGGCGGGAAGUUGGGACGCGCGGGGGUCGCGCACCUCGCGGCUGUCCCCGGCUGCGCAGCUCCGGGAGGAGGAAACCCACACGCCUCGGACGUCCCUUUCGCACAACUUUCGGAGAACCGGGAAGUCCUCUCGCUCAGAGGGGGAAAAUGAUCGAAGACAUCAACUUGGUUCCACCAGAACAAGUCCCUUCACAUCAUACUUACGGAUCAAGACACUUCUCAUUUAUUUGUGCACAACCGAAAGUGAUCUCGUCUGUUUAGAAGAGGCCUUGAUCUCAAGAAUUAUUUCACCGAGCAAAUGUUACCAAAAAUCACAAGAAACGAUGACAUAGGUUAACGUGAUCCUACAGCAGAUAAUCCUCUACUAUGAGAUUCAGUGCCAGAGGUGUCCCAAGAACAUAAAAGCUAUCAGGCCAGAUGGAAAAUCAGGGCUAAUCUCGCUUGCCAUUCAGUUUCCCACAAAAGCGGAUCGCUGAUUGAGGUACCUCUGGUACAAAUUACCCUUUCACAAAAGGAACAGGGUGACAGCAGUCUAUUAGUCUGAGUACUGGCAAUCUGUGUUUGGAAAAAUGGGAAUGCAAGCCAAAAAUAACUCAAGAACUAAUUCAUAUUUCUACCAUGGCUUUUCAGAACACGGAGUCAGGCCAGUUGUCUACUUUCAGCAAGACUGGAAGCUCCAAUUACGGAAUUUAGUUCUAAAUCUCUUCUUCCCGUCAGGUACCUGAAUGACUGGCCAGAAGCCUGUUCUCAGAUGGCUGUAAAAAAAUUUGGGAAAGAGUCAAAAGUGUGAAGUGCUGAACAACUCCUCCAUGAGAAAACUCUCCCCAAGGAAAUUCAGCCCUUAUAUAGAACUGGCCUGGGGUACAGGCUGUUCAGUCCUUCAAUUUACAUUCUGGAGUCUGCCCAAAUAAUAGGAAGCAUUAAGUUUAUUUAUCCCAUUUUUAAAGUAUCUAGUUUAUAAAAAUGUUGCUCAUGGAUGACCAGGAUCUUGGGAACUGAAGACACUCAUCUCGGUCUCCUUUUUCCC